rnacentral:rRNA from 1 species
UACAUGGGGUGCAAACGUUGCUCGGAAUCAUUGGGCGUAAAGCGCGCGUAGGCGGUUACUUAAGUUGGAUGUGAAAGCCCUCGGCUUAACUGAGGAAGUGCAUCCAAAACUGAGUAGCUAGAGUACGAAAGAGGGUCGCGGAAUUCCCGGUGUAGAGGUGAAAUUCGUAGAUAUCGGGAGGAACACCGGUGGCGAAGGCGGCGACCUGGGUCGAGACUGACGCUGAGGCGCGAAAGCGUGGGGAGCGAACAGG